rnacentral:rRNA from 1 species
UACGGAGGGGGCUAGCGUUGUUCGGAAUUACUGGGCGUAAAGCGCACGUAGGCGGCUUUGUAAGUUAGAGGUGAAAGCCCGGGGCUCAACUCCGGAAUUGCCUUUAAGACUGCAUCGCUAGAAUUGUGGAGAGGUAAGUGGAAUUCCGAGUGUAGAGGUGAAAUUCGUAGAUAUUCGGAAGAACACCAGUGGCGAAGGCGGCUCACUGGCCCGGUACUGA